rnacentral:rRNA from 1 species
CCUACGGGUGGCAGCAGUGGGGAAUAUUGGACAAUGGGCGAAAGCCUGAUCCAGCCAUGCCGCGUGUGUGAAGAAGGCCUUCGGGUUGUAAAGCACUUUCAGUGGGGAAGAAAGCCUUGGGGCUAAUACCCUCGAGGAAGGACAUCACCCACAGAAGAAGCACCGGCUAACUCCGUGCCAGCAGCCGCGGUAAUACGGAGGGUGCGAGCGUUAAUCGGAAUUACUGGGCGUAAAUCGCGCGUAGGCGGUCUGAUAAGCCGGUUGUGAAAGCCCCGGGCUCAACCUGGGAACGGCAUCCGGAACUGUCAGGCUAGAGUGCAGGAGAGGAAGGUAGAAUUCCCGGUGUAGCGGUGAAAUGCGUAGAGAUCGGGAGGAAUACCAGUGGCGAAGGCGGCCUUCUGGACUGACACUGACGCUGAGGUGCGAAAGCGUGGGUAGCAAACAGGAUUAGAUACCCCUGUAGUC